UACGAAGGGGGCUAGCGUUGCUCGGAAUCACUGGGCGUAAAGGGUGCGUAGGCGGGUCUUUAAGUCAGGGGUGAAAUCCUGGAGCUCAACUCCAGAACUGCCUUUGAUACUGAGGAUCUUGAGUUCGGGAGAGGUGAGUGGAACUGCGAGUGUAGAGGUGAAAUUCGUAGAUAUUCGCAAGAACACCAGUGUCGAAGGCGGCUCACUGGCCCGAUACUGACGCUGAGGCACGAAAGCGUGGGGAGCAAACAGG
rnacentral:rRNA from 1 species